CUGCCUACUACAAGGGGAUAACCCAUUGAAAGACGGACUAAUACCCUAUAACACAGGGGAUCCGUAUGGAUAUAUUUGUUAAAGAUUUAUCGGUAGUAGAUGGGCAUGCGUUCCAUUAGCUUGUUGGUGAGGUAACGGCUCACCAAGGCAACGAUGGAUAGGGGAACUGAGAGGUUGAUCCCCCACACUGGAACUGAGACACGGUCCAGACUCCUACGGGAGGCAGCAGUGAGGAAUAUUGGUCAAUGGACGAGAGUCUGAACCAGCCAAGUCGCGUGAAGGAAGACGGCCCUACGGGUUGUAAACUUCUUUUGUAAGGGAAUAAAAUAGUCUUACGCGCUAAGACGUUGCAGGUACCUUACGAAUAAGGAUCGGCUAACUCCGUGCCAGCAGCCGCGGUAAUACGGAGGAUCCGAGCGUUAUCCGGAUUUAUUGGGUUUAAAGGGUGCGCAGGCGGCAUGUUAAGUCGGCGGUGAAAUUUUGCAGCUCAACUGUAAAAGAGCCUUCGAAACUGGGCAAGCUUGAGUGUGGAUGAAGUAAGCGGAGUUUGUGGUGUACCGGUGAAAUGCAUAGAUAUCACAAAGAACACCGAUUGCGCAGGCAGCUUACUAAACCAUAACUGACGCUCAUGCACGAAGGCGUGGGGAUCAAACAGGAUUAGAUACCCUGGUAGUCCACGCAGUAAACGAUGAUUACUGGCUGUUUGCGAUACAAUGUAAGCGGCUGAGCGAAAGCGUUAAGUAAUCCACCUGGGGAGUACGUUCGCAAGAAUGAAACUCAAAGGAAUUGACGGGGGCCCGCACAAGCGGGGGAACAUGUGGUUUAAUUCGAUGAUACGCGAGGAACCUU
rnacentral:rRNA from 1 species